GGUAAUUUUCCGCAAUGGGCGAAAGCCUGACGGAGCAAUACCGCGUGAGGGACGAAGGCUUUUGGGUCGUAAACCUCUUUUCCCUGAGAAGAAGAUCUGACGGUAUCAGGGGAAUAAGCAUCGGCUAACUUCGUGCCAGCAGCCGCGGUAAUACGAGGGAUGCAAGCGUUAUCCGGAAUUAUUGGGCGUAAAGCGUCCGCAGGUGGCUCUGUAAGUCUGUCGUUAAAGAAUGGGGCUUAACCCCAUACAGGCGAUGGAAACUACAAGGCUAGAGUUUGGUAGGGGUCACGGGAAUUCCUAGUGUAGCGGUGAAAUGCGUAGAUAUUAGGAAGAACACCAGCGGCGAAAGCGCGUGACUGGGCCAGUACUGACACUCAUGGACGAAAGCUAGGGGAGCGAAAGGGAUUAGAUACCCCUGUAGUCCUAGCCGUAAACGAUGAUAACUAGGUGUUGCCCGCAUCGACCCGGGCAGUGCCGUAGCCAACGCGUUAAGUUAUCCG
rnacentral:rRNA from 1 species